rnacentral:rRNA from 1 species
AAUCAACGCUGGCGGCGUGCCUAACACAUGCAAGUCGAACGCGAAAGGGGCUUCGGCCCUGAGUAGAGUGGCGCACGGGUGAGUAACACGUAGGUAAUCUACCUUCGGAUGGGGAAUAACAACCGGAAACGGUUGCUAAUACCGCAUAAUGCAGCGGCACCUAAUGGUGACAGUUGUUAAAGCGGGGGAGUCGAAGACCUCGCGUCUGAAGAGGAGCCUGCGGCGGAUUAGCAGUUGGUAAGGUAACGGCUUACCAAGGCGACGAUCCGUAGCUGGCCUGAGAGGGCGGUCGGCCACACUGACACUGACAUACGGGUCAGACUCCUACGGGAGGCAGCAGUCGGGAAUUUUGGGCAAUGGGCGAAAGCCUGACCCAGCAACGCCGCGUGAAGGAU